rnacentral:rRNA from 1 species
GACGAACGCUGGCGGCGUGCUUAACACAUGCAAGUCGAACGGUAAUGCCCCAUCUUGGUUGCGUGGACGAGUGGCGAACGGGUGAGUAGCACGUGAGCAACCUGCCCCACACUCUGGAGUAAGCGCUGGAAAGGGCGACUCAUACUGGAUACGUUACUCGCCCGCAGGGUGGUGGUAUGGAAAUUUGUUUGGUUGGGGAUGGGCGCGCGGCCUAUCUGCUUGUUGGUGGGGUGCUGGCUCACCCAGGCGACGACGGGUAGCCGGCCUGAGAGGGCGACCGGCCACACUGGGACUGAGAGACAGACCAGACUGCUACGGGCGGCAGCAGGGGGGAAGAAUGAACGAUGGGCGGAAGCCUGAUGCAGCGACGCAGGGUGAGGGAUGACGGCCUUCGGGUUGGAAGCAACUUUCAGCAGGGAAGAAGGGAAAGUGACGGUACCUGCAGAAGAAGCACCGGCUAACUACGUG